GAGAACUUAAGGCCAUCUGUCUACCAGCUGAAGCUCAACAGAAGAUGGGUGUUGCAACAGGACAAUGACCCAAAGCAUAGAAGUAAAUCAACAACAGAACGGCUUAAACAGAAGAAAAUACGCCUUCUGAAGUGGCCCAGUCAGAGUCCUGACCUCAACCCAAUUGAGAUGCUGUGGCAUGACCUCAAGAAAGCGAUUCACACCAGACAUCCCAAGAAUAUUGCUGAAC